UUUCCGUGGGUGAACCUGCGGAAGGAUCAUUACAGAGUUCAUGCCCUCACGGGUAGAUCUCCCACCCUUGAAUAUUUAUACCUUAGUUGCUUUGGCAGGCCGUGGAAACACCAUGGGCUCCGGCUUAUGCGUGCCUGCCAGAGGAAACAAACUCUGUUUUUAGUGAUGUCUGAGUACUAUAUAAUAGUUAAAGCUUUCAACAACGGAUCUCUUGGUUCUG
rnacentral:misc_RNA from 1 species